GAACAACCCUGGCGGCCCGCUCAACACAUGCCAGUCGAACGAGCCAGAGAGAGCUUUGCUUUUCCAAGCGAGUGGCGAACGGGUGAGUAACGCGUGAGGAACCUGCCUCAAAGAGGGGGACAACAGUUGGAAACGACUGCUAAUACCGCAUAAGCCCACGGCUCGGCAUCGAGCAGAGGGAAAAGGAGCAAUCCGCUUUGAGAUGGCCUCGCGUCCGAUUAGCUAGUUGGUGAGGUAAUGGCCCACCAAGGCGACGACCGGUAGCCGGACUGAGAGGUUGAACGGCCACAUUGGGACUGAGACACGGCCCAGACUCCUACGGGAGGCAGCAGUGGGGAAUAUUGCACAAUGGGGGAAACCCUGAUGCAGCGACGCCGCGUGGAGGAAGAAGGUCUUCGGAUUGUAAACUCCUGUUGUUGAGGAAGAUAAUGACGGUACUCAACAAGGAAGUGACGGCUAACUACGUGCCAGCAGCCGCGGUAAAACGUAGGUCACAAGCGUUGUCCGGAAUUACUGGGUGUAAAGGGAGCGCAGGCGGGAAGACAAGUUGGAAGUGAAAUCCAUGGGCUCAACCCAUGAACUGCUUUCAAAACUGUUUUUCUUGAGUAGUGCAGAGGUAGGCGGAAUUCCCGGUGUAGCGGUGGAAUGCGUAGAUAUCGGGAGGAACACCAGUGGCGAAGGCGGCCUACUGGGCACCAACUGACGCUGAGGCUCGAAAGUGUGGGUAGCAAACAGGAUUAGAUACCCUGGUAGUCCACACUGUAAACGAUGAUUACUAGGUGUUGGAGGAUUGACCCCUUCAGUGCCGCAGUUAACACAAUAAGUAAUCCACCUGGGGAGUACGACCGCAAGGUUGAAACUCAAAGGAAUUGACGGGGGCCCGCACAAGCAGUGGAGUAUGUGGUUUAAUUCGACGCAACGCGAAGAACCUUACCAAGUCUUGACAUCCCUUGACGAUGCUGGAAACAGUAUUUCUCUUCGGAGCAAGGAGACAGGUGGUGCAUGGUUGUCGUCAGCUCGUGUCGUGAGAUGUUGGGUUAAGUCCCGCAACGAGCGCAACCCUUAUGGUCAGUUACUACGCAAGAGGACUCUGGCCAGACUGCCGUUGACAAAACGGAGGAAGGUGGGGAUGACGUCAAAUCAUCAUGCCCUUUAUGACUUGGGCUACACACGUACUACAAUGGCGUUAAACAAAGAGAAGCAAGACCGCGAGGUGGAGCAAAACUCAGAAACAACGUCCCAGUUCGGACUGCAGGCUGCAACUCGCCUGCACGAAGUCGGAAUUGCUAGUAAUCGCAGAUCAGCAUGCUGCGGUGAAAUACGUUCCCGGGCCU
rnacentral:rRNA from 1 species